GUGCUUUUAUUAGUACAGAUGAUUUACCUAAUGAUUAAAAGUGCUAAACAAUUAAUCUACAACAAUAAAAACAUCUACUAAAAUAUUGUGAAAUGAGAUAGUAUAUUAUGCGUAUCUAAUACGUGAAAAAUAGUCCGAAAAACAAAUUCCCAAGCUUUUUUAAGCCAGGAUAUACGUUUUUACGAGAAAAAAAUGGACAACCAGCCGAAUCAGACUAUUCCCAGCCGGCCCGACCACUUUUAUUUUUAGCUAGCCCGACAGCCACCCUUUUUUUUCUAAAGCCCGUCAAGCCGGCCUGGCCAGCAACAAGCAACCCAC
rnacentral:lncRNA from 1 species